UGAAGAUACUUCCAAAAUUCGGUUCACUGUGACAGUCAGCUACUCUUUCUUUUAGCAUUUGGCUCCACCUUCUCUCUUCCUACUGUUUACAGAUACUCAGUACUCAACAUCAAGGCAGAAGCCAAGGUGAGAAAAAAAUUACUGAAGCUUGAUCACAGCGAUAGCCUCAAAAUCCUUGCCUGGGCUCAGACUCCCUUUCCUCCCAGCUUCACAUGUAUAGAAGUUAACAUAUUUGUUAUAUGCUGAUUCUUUUUAAUGUUUCAGCAAUGAUUAGUGAUACAGACACUUGACAGGAAUAAUGGCUUGAAAGCUUUCAGCUCUUCUAAUCCUGCUGCAGAGCAUGCAACCUCUCAAAGGAAAAAAAAGAAAUCAGAAA